UACUUCCUGCGAUGUACGUGUCGGCUUCAUUGUUUUGAACCAAUGUUUGUUUCUUUGGGAGUCCUAGAUCGAAGUGCAGCUGGCAAGCCCUCUCGAAGGGAAGUCAAAAGCAUUUUUGCGGACACCCACCUGCCAGAGCAGGUUCAGAAGCAUUAGAGCCAAACGGCAUAGGCGGGUUUUCC
rnacentral:other from 1 species